rnacentral:lncRNA from 1 species
AAAAUUGGGUAAAAUGUAGCAUUGGUUAGUGAAGUAAAUAAGAGGUUUAAAUUAGGCUAAAAUAUAGCAAAUCCUUUUUUAAAUACCUUUUUUUCACUUUUCUCCCCUCACUUUUAAAAAUUUACACUUUUUUCUCUCAAAAUUUUAAAUUGAUUCCAUCUGGGUUCUGUCACUAUUCUAUCUAUUUCUUAUAAUUUAUACCAAAAAUACUCUUAAAAAUUAAAAAAAUAUAUUAAAAAAUUAUUGUCUUAUAGAAUAAGUAAAGGUAAUUCGAUCAUUUCCUCCUCGACCUUUAUUAACGCCGUAAUCCCCCUGCAAAUACUUUUAAAAUUUUAAAGAGGUAAAAUAUAGAUUUUUGAAAGUCAAAGAAGAAAAAUGAAAAAGCGGAUAUUAGGUCACUAAACUUUAAUUUCUGUUCAACUGUUAGUACGUCAAACUCUAUUUGACUUUGGUAAAAAAGGGAUGGCGUGACCAUUAAUUCAAGGGCCCGUUUGGUUCGAGUUAUGUAAUAUUACAAAGUAUCUCGACAUAUCCAGGUAUCUUGGAUUUCGGCGUGAGAUUACUACUAAUGCUACAUUAGAGCGUUUGGUUUAAUACAGUAAUGUAAUACUAGAUUACAGUGUUUAUAGCGUUAAUAUGUUUGGUUCAGUUUAUAAAAUUUAGUAAUCCUGACAUAAAAGUAUAGUUUUUUCCAAAAUUGCCCUUAUUGUGGUCAUUUGAAUAUUAUUUUUUGCGGAAAUGACGAAUGGAGGGAAGGAGAUCGUGAUGAUUACUUGGGAGGACGACGCAAUAGAAGAUGAUAGGUGUUCAUGCGAGAGAGAAAGAGAGAGAGAGAGAGAGAGAGAGACGUCCAGAGAGAGAGAGCGAGAGAAAGCGGCGUGCGAGAGAGAGGGGGGAAGGCGAGAGAGAGAUGACAAUAAUGCUGUUAAUUAGAUUUGGGGUUGUUGGAGGGUAAAAUUGUCAUUUUACAUAAUAUGUAGUAUUAACGGGUUUCAGUAAUGCAAGAUACACGACCCCCCUCCCGUUAAUAUUUUCGAUGUAAUCCUGCUCGAUUUGUAAUCCUACAUUAACGACUAGAUUACAUAGCGGAUUAACCAAACAUAGUUAUCCUGGCAGGAUUGCCUGUAAUCCUGCCAGGAUAACUCGAACCAAACGCACCCCAAACGUAAUUAGGAUUUUUUUGCAUUUAGCCCCCUCAAAACUUUUUUUUAACAAAUGGUCAUAAUAAAUUUAUAUUUACAUAAUUGGCCCUCUCCUUGCCAUGCGAGCCCACGUUGAUAUUUUUAAAUU